rnacentral:lncRNA from 1 species
ACCGACUUUUCUUUUAUCCCUUAAGGAAAGGUGGAAAAGAACAGGAAAGACCUUAAUUUUAAAUUCUUAGGUUCGGGAGGUACUUUAUACAAAGGGAAGGUGUUAGGCACCCUUUGUAUCCAUGGUUAUCCAUGGGCUCUUAAUUGCUCAAUCAUUUAUGUUUUCUUUGUUUGAAAAAGGUGGUUGAGAAAUGUAUGAAAAAUGUUUUGAAAAGGAGAAUUUAACUUUGUAAUGAUUCUUGCAUGAAUGUAUACAAAGUGGUUAUCUCAUUUAGUUUUUN